rnacentral:rRNA from 1 species
GAUGAACGCUAGCGGCAGGCUUAAUACAUGCAAGUCGAGGGGUAGCAAGAUUGUAGCAAUACAAUUGUUGACGACCGGCAAACGGGUGCGGAACACGUACACAACCUUCCUACAAUUGGGCAAUAGCCCAGAGAAAUUUGGAUUAAUACCCCGUAACAUAGCGAUGUGGCAUCACAUUGCUAUUAUAGCUUCGGCGCUUGUUGAUGGGUGUGCGGCUGAUUAGAUAGUUGGCGGGGUAACGGCCCACCAAGUCUACGAUCAGUAGCUGAUGUGCGAGCAUGAUCAGCCACACGGGCACUGAGACACGGGCCCGACUCCUACGGGAGGCAGCAGUAAGGAAUAUUGGACAAUGGACGCAAGUCUGAUCCAGCCAUGCCGCGUGAAGGAUUAAGGUCCUCUGGAUUGUAAACUUCUUUUAUAAGGGACGAAAAAAGGUCUUUCUAGAUCGUCUGACGGUACCUUAUGAAUAAGCACCGGCUAACUCCGUGCCAGCCGCCGCCGUAAAAC